GACGUAGGGCGCGAGCGUUGUCCGGAUUUAUUGGGCGUAAAGAGCUCGUAGGCGGUUUGUCGCGUCGGAUGUGAAAUCCCAGGGCUUAACCCUGGGCCUGCAUUCGAUACGGGCAGACUAGAGUUCGGUAGGGGAGACUGGAAUUCCUGGUGUAGCGGUGAAAUGCGCAGAUAUCAGGAGGAACACCGGUGGCGAAGGCGGGUCUCUGGGCAGUAACUGACGCUGAGGAGCGAAAGCGUGGGGAGCGAACAGG
rnacentral:rRNA from 1 species